GACGAACGCUGGCGGCGUGCUUAACACAUGCAAGUCGAACGGUAAGGCCCUUCGGGGUACACGAGUGGCGAACGGGUGAGUAACACGUGGGUGAUCUGCCCUGCACUUCGGGAUAAGCCGGGGAAACUGGGUCUAAUACCGGAUAGGAACCCUGCCUGCAUGGGCGGGGGUGGAAAGCUUUUGCGGUGUGGGAUGGGCCCGCGGCCUAUCAGCUUGUUGGUGGGGUGAUGGCCUACCAAGGCGACGACGGGUAGCCGGCCUGAGAGGGUGUCCGGCCACACUGGGACUGAGAUACGGCCCAGACUCCUACGGGAGGCAGCAGUGGGGAAUAUUGCACAAUGGGCGCAAGCCUGAUGCAGCGACGCCGCGUGAGGGAUGACGGCCUUCGGGUUGUAAACCUCUUUCACCAGGGACGAAGCGCAAGUGACGGUACCUGGAGAAGAAGCACCGGCCAACUACGUGCCAGCAGCCGCCGUAA
rnacentral:rRNA from 1 species